UAUUUGCUUUUUGGAUUUUGAGUUUUAUAAGUCCUUUAUAUAUUUUGGAUUCUAACCCUUUAUCAGUUAUGCCAUUUACAAAUAGCUUUA